AUAAUCAUGCAGGGAAAAGGUGCUGAUUCGUCAGCGUAACAGGGAAUCCGGUGAAAAUCCGGAGCUGUUUCCGCAACUGUAAGUGCGUAUGAAAUAAGAGAUGCCACUGGGGAGACCCGGGAAGGCCUUAGAGUAAAUCGAUGCACAAGCCAGGAGACCUACCUUUUUCUGAACGUAUUU
rnacentral:ncRNA from 1 species